AACGCCGAUGGUACUGCAGGGGGAACCCUGUGGGAGACUAGGACGCCGCCACAC
rnacentral:rRNA from 1 species